GACGGUUUAGCUGAUUGGUCUAAAGCGCUAGAUUUAGGCUCUGAUUCGAAAGGGUAUGGGUUCAAAUCCCACAUCUGUUA
rnacentral:tRNA from 1 species